rnacentral:rRNA from 1 species
CCUACGGGAGGCAGCAGUAGGGAAUAUUGCUCAAUGGGGGAAACCCUGAAGCAGCAACGCCGCGUGGAGGAUGAAGGUUUUCGGAUUGUAAACUCCUUUUGUUAGAGAAGAUAAUGACGGUAUCUAACGAAUAAGCACCGGCUAACUCCGUGCCAGCAGCCGCGGUAAUACGUAGGGUGCAAGCGUUACUCGGAAUCACUGGGCGGAAAGAGCGCGUAGGCGGGUUAGCAAGUCAGAUGUGAAAUCCUAUGGCUUAACCAUAGAACUGCAUUUGACACUGUGAUUGUAGAGUAUGGGAGAGGUAGGUGGAAUUCUAGGUGUAGGGGGAAAAUGCGUAGAGAUCAAGAGGAAGACUCAUGGCGAAGGCGACCUGCUAGAACAUAACUGACGCUGAUGCGCGAAAGCGUGGGGAGCAAACAGGAUUAGAUACCCGGGUAGUC